rnacentral:rRNA from 1 species
AAUCAACGCUGGCGGCGUGCCUCAGACAUGCAAGUCGAACGCGAAAGUUCCCUUCGGGGAGCAAGUAGAGUGGCGCACGGGUGAGUAACACGUAGGUAAUCUACCUUCGGAUGGGGAAUAACAACCGGAAACGGUUGCUAAUACCGCAUAAUGCAGCGGCACCUAAUGGUGACAGUUGUUAAAGCGGGGGAUCGAAAGACCUCGCGUCUGAAGAGGAGCCUGCGGCAGACUUAGCUAGUUGGUAAGGUAACGGCUUACCAAGGCGAUGAUCUGUAGCCGGCCUGAGAGGGCGGUCGGCCACACUGACACUGACAUACGGGUCAGACUCCUACGGGUGGCUG